AGACAAUUAGCUCAGUUGGUUAGAGCGUUGCCUUGACAUGGCAAAGGUCAUCAGUUCAAAUCUGAUAUUGUCUA
rnacentral:tRNA from 1 species